GUGCUAUGAGAAGGUUAGCACUCCCUUGACAAGGAUGGAAGAGGCUUCGGCCUGCAACACGCAUGCGCUUAACAGUUUUU
rnacentral:ncRNA from 1 species